rnacentral:rRNA from 1 species
AAUGCGGGACUCUAAGAGGCCCCGUAAUUGGAAUGAGUACACCUUAAAUCGUUUAACGAGUAUCAAUUGGAGGGCAAGUCUGGUGCCAGCAGCCGCGGUAAUUCCAGCUCCAAUAGCGUAUAUUAAAGUUGCUGCAGUCAAAAAGCUCGUAGUUGGAUCUGGGGCUUGAGGUCGCUGUCUAUCGUUUCGGCGAUGACGGUGAUGCUCAGCUCUGCUUGCCGGUGACUGUUGCGGUGUUCUUAAUUGAGCGCUGUAGCAGCACGGCACGUUUACUUUGAAAAAAUUAGAGUGCUCAAAGCGUGCUUGUCGCUUGAAUAAUGUUGCAUGGAAUAAUGGAAUAGGACCUCGGUUCUAUUUUGUUGGUUUUCGGAGCUUGAGGUAAUGAUUAAGAGGGACGAACGGGGGCAUUCGUAUUGCGGUGUUAGAGGUGAAAUUCUUGGAUCGCCGCAAGACGGACUACUGCGAAAGCAUUUGCCAAGAACGCUUUCAUUAAUUAAGAACGAAAGUCAGAGGUUCGAAGACGAUCAGACACCGUCCUAGUUCUGACCAUAAACGAUGCCGACCAGCGAUCCGUAGUGGUUGCUUUAUGGACCCUACGGGCAGCCUCCGGGAAACCAAAGUAUUUGGGUUCCGGGGGAAGUAUGGUUGCAAAGCUGAAACUUAAAGGAAUUGACGGAAGGGCACACCAGGAGUGGAGCCUGCGGCUUAAUUUGACCCAACACGGGAAAACUCACCCGGUCCGGACACCGUAAGGAUUGACAGACUGAUAGCUCUUUCUUGAUUCGGUGGAUGGUGGUGCAUGGCCGUUCUUAGUUGGUGGAGUGAUUUGUCUGGUUAAUUCCGAUAACGAACGAGACUCUAGCCUGCUAAGUAGUGUGUCUAUUGUGAUAUGGUAUACACUUCUUAGAGGGACAAGUGGCAUUUAGCCACGCGAAAUUGAGCAAUAACAGGUCUGUGAUGCCCUUAGAUGUCCGGGGCCGCACGCGCGCUACACUGGAGAAGUCAGCGUGUGUUAUCCGAGUCCGAAAGGAUUGGGUAAUCCGUUGAACCUUCUUCGUGCUUGGGACUGUGGCUUGGAACUAUUCCACAUGAACGAGGGAUUCCUAGUAAGUGCAAGUCAUUAGCUUGCGUUGAUUACGUCCCUGCCCUUUGUACACACCGCCCGUCGCUACUACCGAUUGAAUGGUUUAGCAAGGUCCUCGGAUCGUGGCCGUAGGGGCACGCAAGUGUUUCUGCGGUUUGCGAGAAGACGACAAACUUGAUCAUUUAGAGGAAGUAAAAGUCGUAACAAGGUU